UACGUAGGGGGCAAGCGUUGUCCGGAAUCAUUGGGCGUAAAGAGCGUGUAGGCGGCCUGAUAAGUCGGCUGUGAAAGUCAAGGGCUCAACCCUUGAAUGCCGGCCGAUACUGUCAGGCUAGAGUCCGGAAGAGGCGAGUGGAAUUCCUGGUGUAGCGGUGAAAUGCGCAGAUAUCAGGAGGAACACCAAUGGCGAAGGCAGCUCGCUGGGACGGUACUGACGCUGAGGCGCGAAAGCGUGGGGAGCAAACAGG
rnacentral:rRNA from 1 species